CAUUACAUUAGAUUGGCACUGUGCAUAUUAUAAAAAUGACUAUAUACAUACAUACUGGGGCUACUUUAUUUCCAUAUCGGGUGUCAGCUGUAUGGGAACUUGUGGGCAUAGACCUCACUGGUCCCCUGCCCAAGACACAAAGUGGCUUCCAAUAUAUACUGACAGCAACUGACUAUUUUUCUAAGUGGGUUGAGGCUUACCCACUGAAGAGCAAGUCGGCUGCUGAGGUUUGCUGUGUGUGUGUGAGCCUGUUUGUUUUCUGUGUGCUGUUGCGUCGCCAGACAAGGAGAACGGCUGGAUGAAUAGGAGAAAGGUAAAACUCAGUUAUUUAACUCGAGUGGAGGUGGACAAAAUGAGUUUAAUUCCAGAAAUGGUGGACUGACACUUUAAGUGGAAUGUUAUGCUUCUCUGGGUUGGAUGUGUUAAAUGAAAGUAAGCUUUAAAAUAGUUAUUGACUGAAUGAAAACUGUAUUGAUGCUCCAAAAUGUUAUGCCGUUUUAUGUCUUGCAAUAAAAAUAACAUAACAUUUAAUUAUAUUGCAUUGUGUAAGUGAGACAUUAAUUGUUCAAGUUGCUGAUACUUACAAACUAUAAGUAAGGUGUAGAUUCUGCAAGUAAACCUUACAAUCAGGAAUUAGGUGCCCAUUACACAGCUGAAAGUAAGAGAAACCCAUUUAACACCAGUAAACACAACUUUGCUCCAAGUAACCUUUACUAGCUGGUAUGAAGUAAACAUUACUAGUUGGUUUUAAGCAACCUCAACAUUCAAGUUCCAAGUAAGGAUGAUAAAUAUUUUCAGUGGAGAUUACUUGUAAACGUAAAGUAAAGAUAACUUGAAAGAGAACAAGUUAUAUUACUACAUUUAUUUGAGGCAACGAGUUUCCACCUUUUUUUCAAGUAAGCUUAACUUAUUCUUUUUUACAGUGAGUGUAGUAUAUUCUGGUGGGGUCAUUUGAAUUGUCAAAACUUCCUACAUUCAUAUGUUAAUGUAAAGGCAUAUUCUGAUGGUCAUCAAGUUGUCAGAAAGUCCUGCAUUCAUAUAUUAAAGUAAAAGAAUAUUCUGACGAGGUCGUUUGAACUGUCAGAACGUCCUACACUCCUAUGUAGAAGCAUUAUGUCAGAACACCUUACAUUCAUAUAUUGUAAAAACAUAUUCCGAUGGUCAUUUGAAUAGUCAGAACGUCCUACUUACUGUAGAAGCAUAUUCUGACGUGGUCAUAUGAGUUGUCAGAACGUCCUGCAGCGUCAUUUGAAUUGCAAGAACGUCCGACACUCAUAUUUUAAUGUAGAAGCAUAUUCUGAAGGGGUCUUUUGAAUUGUCAGAACAUCCUACAUUCAUUUAUUAAUGUAGAAGCAUAUUCUGAUGGGGUCAUAUAAGUUGUGAGAACAUCCUGCGGCAUCAUUUGAAUUGUAAUAACGUCCUACACUCAUUUUAAUAGAGCAAAUGGUACUUGUGAAUAGUGACAAAAAAAAUAUUAAUUCUACAUAUUCUCACAGGGUCAAUUGAAGAGUCAGAGCGUCCUAGAUUCAUAUGAAUGUAAAAGCAUAUUCUGACGGAGUCGUUUGAAUUGUCAGGAUGUCCUACAUUAAUAUAUGAAUGUAAAAGCAUAUUCUGACGGAGUUGUUUGAAUUGUCAGAACGUCCUACAUUCAUAUGAAUUCUGACAGGGUUGGUGGACGUUGUAUCAAUGUAGAAGCAUGUUCUUUGCAGAGGGAAAAACCGCGAACUAUGACUAAAAGUUAAAGUUGAAUCACACUGUAGGAUUUCCUGCAAUGUAGGACUGCUCGACAGACAUGUCUGACAUCCCCUCCUACCGUAGGACGCUUCGCGGAUGUAGGACCGUUUAUCAGAACACCGGCGAAGCUCUCAAAACUCGUAGUAUUUUGCUUCCAUUCAAGCCUCGUUUCAAAGUCUGACCAAUAAGAGCACUACGUUUUUUGGCGGUAAAUUUGAUUUUCUCAAUUUAAUUUGGAAAGCGUGCUGGGCACGCCCUGGGAAACCACUGACUGUCAACAAAAAUGUCCACAGAAAUGCACAAAAUUACUUAACAAAAUUUUGUGAAAUUUUGGUUAGCAGUGGUUAGUGUAAAAUUUAUAGGCCGUGCUUUUUUUUUUUUUGAGAAUUGGCAGUGUAAAACACGGCUGCACGGCUUGCUAGCUAAGCCUAUGCUUCCACGCCAAGACCUGGGGCCUCAUUUAUAAACGAUGUGUAUGCACAAAAGAAUGCGUACGCCACAUUCUACGCAAGCUUCGGUAUUUAUAAAAAGUGAACUUGACGGUAAAAUGUGCGCACCUCCACGCAAGCUCUGACCCAUGCGUACGCACACAAAAAAGGGAAACGCGGAAAAUGCGACCUCAGGAGGAAACGGGGAGAAUGACCCGAAAUUGGUUCAAUAAUCGAAGUUUAACACAAACAUAACAUCGCGCAUCAAAGACGUGACUGACUUAACAUUUAUAAUCCUUAAUUUUGUGCACUUGUCAAAAAUAACAUCUUAUUUAAGGCAAUAAAGACAAAUUGAUAGGCUAUACAUUGUAUGUUUUUGCAACAUAAGCAGUAGGCUAAGUUUUGUUAAUUAUCCACUUAUGGCUUUCAUGCAUGUUGUCAUUUUUCAAUAUUGGUCAUUAGGCUAUCACACAUGUUGCUUGUUAGGUUGCCUACUCUGUAAAUAGUAUAUAAGAGGGAUUUGCCGUGGUAGGUCUUAUGAUGCACUAUGGCGUAUUUGGCAUUGCUGGAGGAUGUGGCAAAUGGAAGAAUUAGGAGAGAGCGAGUCUUCAGAGACCAACAAGAUUUGUUGGCCAAUGACGAUGAGUAGCUCAUGAGCCGAUUCAGAUUGCCACGAGCUGUCCUUUUACACCUGAUAGCUGAGUUGGGCCCAGCGUUGGGGAGAGGUACCCGCCGGAAUCAUGCCAUCCCAGUCUCGCUACAAGUGCUGACUUGCAUCGGCUUUCUGGCCACUGGCACUUUUCAGCGAGAACUGGCUGACAGGUCCAGGAUAUUGCAGCCAACCUUCAGCCGCAUUUUGCCAGAAGUGUUAGGAGGUGUAAUUGGUUUAUCACCAAACUACAUCAAGUUUCCUUACACGGUGGGUGAACAGGCAAAUAAAAAAGUGCAAUUUGCAGCAAAGUCUGAUUUCCCAAAUGUGAUCGGUGCUAUUGACUGCACUCAUAUUGCUAUAAGGGCACCAAGUGAAAUGAAUUUGCCUUUGUUAACAGGAAGCAUUUUCAUUCCCUCAGUGUCCAAGUUAUAUGUGACGCGGACAUGGUCCUCACAAAUGUUGUCGCCCGGUGGCCUGGUUCAACCCAUGAUUCAUUUAUAUUGAGACAUAGCAGUGUUGGGCAGAGACUGGAUGCUGGAGCUGUGUGCGAUGGUUGGCUUCUGGGUGCGGGUGAUUUUAAUGUGUGACAGUGGGUAUCCGCUGAAACGGUGGCUGCUCACACCAUUUAUGAACCCCCAAACGCCUGAGGAGACCACUUACAACCUGCGCCACAGCCAGGCGUGCGCUGUUGUGGAGCGCACCAUCGGGCUCCUGAAGGGCAGAUGGCGUUGUCUGGAUGCCACGGGGGGAGCGCUAUGUUACAGACCCGAAAAGGUCUGUAGGAUUGUUAGGGCCUGUGCUGUGCUGCACAAUGUGGCACAGCUACAAAACGUGCCUUUGCAAGCUGAAGAGGUCAAUCUUGAUCUCGACCCCGAUCCCUAUCCCCAGGCAUUCCACCCAAACGCAGGAGCCGUGCGCCAGCGCAAGGAGGUGAUGCGCCACUUGUAAAUAAUGAGCAUCCACAUGUUCCCGUUGCACCUGCAGCACUGCAUCUGUUAGGACACGGGCGCUGGUGGCUGGUUUCGGCAUGGAUGCACAUGCAUCGGAGGCCGUGGACGUCCUUGGGACCUCCGCUGCCGCAGCCGACACACUGCUGGCCUCACUGGCACACCCAGCAACUGCAAGGGACUUUUUUUGUUAAUAAAAUACUUUUUCUGGUUGAA